GUCUAUGGCCAUACCACCAUGAACGCGCCCGAUCUCGUCUGAUCUCGGAAGCUAAGCAGGGUCAGGCCUGGUUAAUACUUGGAUGGGAGAACGAAAUGAACUUAUAACAAAUGCUAGAGAGGCUGUGGGGG
rnacentral:rRNA from 1 species